rnacentral:rRNA from 1 species
ACGUACACUCCUGCGGGAGGCAGCAGUGGGGAAUAUUGCACAAUGGGCGCAAGCCUGAUGCAGCCAUGCUGCGUGUAUGAAGAAGGCCUUCGGGUUGUAAAGUACUUUCAGCGGGGAGGAAGGCGAUAAGGUUAAUAACCUUGUCGAUUGACGUUACCCGCAGAAGAAGCACCGGCUAACUCCGUGCCAGCAGCCGCGGUAAUACGGAGGGUGCAAGCGUUAAUCGGAAUUACUGGGCGUAAAGCGCACGCAGGCGGUCUGUCAAGUCGGAUGUGAAAUCCCCGGGCUCAACCUGGGAACUGCAUUCGAAACUGGCAGGCUAGAGUCUUGUAGAGGGGGGUAGAAUUCCAGGUGUAGCGGUGAAAUGCGUAGAGAUCUGGAGGAAUACCGGUGGCGAAGGCGGCCCCCUGGACAAAGACUGACGCUCAGGUGCGAAAGCGUGGGGAGCAAACAGGAUUAGAAACCCUUGUAGUCCCAUG